rnacentral:misc_RNA from 1 species
UACGGAGGGUGCAAGCGUUAUCCGGAAUCACUGGGUUUAAAGGGUGCGUAGGCGGGCCUGUAAGUCAGAGGUGAAAGCCCACCGCUUAACGGUGGAAUUGCCUUUGAUACUGCGGGUCUUGAAUUAGGUUGAGGUUAGCGGAAUGUGGCAUGUAGCGGUGAAAUGCUUAGAUAUGCCAUAGAACACCGAUUGCGAAGGCAGCUAACUGGCCCUUGAUUGACGCUGAGGCACGAAAGCGUGGGGAGCGAACAGG